CAAGCGGAACUAAUGUGGAGAGCCUCUAGAGACGAUCUGAGGUAAUUGGUCAUAAACCAAAAUAUUGGACCAAGUUACACUUUGAUCUGAUGAUGGUGCUUAUUGACAGGAGUCAACAGGACUAUCUUUGGACGGCUCUGAACUUGCGUACAAAAGUUCAUUAGCGCCAACUCCUCCUCCGUCAGCUCAGGCAGCCACUGCUGGUGAGAGGAUUUCACCUGC